UUAAAAGCGCUGACCAUAUGAUAGACUUCUAUCUGAUUGUAAUAAUAGGUGGAAAUAGAUCUGCACGAUCUAAACACCCAUAAAGUGGCAAUAAAGAACCAACAACAAAAGUUCUGUCUGACGGAAUUCAACCUUAAAAAAAUAUAUGUAGGAUAUGGGAACUGGAUUUGAAAGUGACAGGUUUUGAUUAAUAACCUCUGUUAUUGUCAUUUAAAGUGUAUUUUUCCCAAGUGUACUAGUCAAAACAAAACUCAAAUACAGAAAUAAUUGAUAUAAUACAAUUACAGUUACAAUUAGUUGUUCAAAUGGUCGUUGUGCAAACAAGUACGCGGCUACUUCGAAAUGACAACCGAAUUGACAAACAAAGGUAUAAAUGAUAACAGGGGCAUCUCUGCGCCUACGAGAUGACAACUAAACCGACAAACCGGCUAGCAUCGGUUGCCGCAUAACAGGAGCAACUCUGCGCCUAACGAGAUGACAAUCGAACCAUCAAGCAGAGUACUACUGGUUGCUGCAUACUGGGGACAUCCGUGCAUAAAAAUAAAAGAAAUGCGUGCAAAUACAUAGACAUAAGUGAAAAGAUGUACAAAUAGUUCUAAGUCAGCAGUAUUAAAAUAACUUGUAAUUAUAUAGUAACUUUAAUAAACAAUCAAACAAAUAAACGUGUCAGAUUUUAUUCGUGCCACUCUUCCCAUAUCAUGUUCUCCUGUUAUGCUCAAAGUUCAACAAUGUUGCAAAUGUCGAAAACGCUCCGCUCAAAGUUGCAACAAAGUUGCAA